ACGUAGGGGACAAGCGUUAUCCGGAUUUACUGGGCGUAAAGCGCGCGCAGGUGGUCGAGCAAGUUGGCCGUGAAAGCUCCCGGCUUAACUGGGAGAGGUCGGUCAAAACUACUCGGCUAGAGGAUGGAGCAGGAGCGUAGAAUUCCCGGUGUAGUGGUGAAAUGCGUAGAGAUCCGGAGGAACCCCGAUGGCGAAGGCGACUUGCUGGGCCUGAACUGACGCUCAGACGCGAAAGCAUGGGGAGCGAACGG
rnacentral:rRNA from 1 species